rnacentral:tRNA from 1 species
GGGGAUUUAGCUCAGUGGUAGAGCGCUUGCCUAGCAAGCACAAGGUCCUGGGUUCUUUCCCCAGCUCUG